GAUGAAGAACGUAGCGAAAUGCGAUACGUAAUGUGAAUUGCAGAAUUCAGUGAAUCAUCGAAUCUUUGAACGCAUAUUGCGCUCUUUGGUAUUCCGAAGAGCAUGCUUGUUUGAGUAUCAGUAAACACCUCAAAGCUUUUGGAUUUUUUAAUCGAAAAGCUUUGGACUUGAGCAAUCCCAACACCAAUCUUUUUGAGAUCGGUGGCGGGUUGCUUGAAAUGCAGGUGCAGCUGGACAUUCUCCUGAGCUAAAAGCAUAUUCAUUUAGUCCCGUCAAACGGUUUAUUACUUUUGCUGCAGCUAACAUAAAGGGAGUUUGACCGUAUUCGCUGACUGAUGCAGGAUUUCACAAGGGUCGGCAACGAUUCUUGUUAAACUCGAUCUCAAAUCAAGUAAGACUACCCGCUGAACUUAAGCAUAUCAAUAAGCGGAGGA
rnacentral:misc_RNA from 1 species